AUACGGAGGAUGCGAGCGUUAUCCGGAUUUAUUGGGUUUAAAGGGUGCGCAGGCGGGCGAUUAAGUCAGCGGUGAAAGGCUCGGGCUCAACCGGAGCAGUGCCGUUGAUACUGGUUGUCUUGAAUGCGGUCAAGGCCGGCGGAAUGUGGCGUGUAGCGGUGAAAUGCAUAGAUAUGCCACAGAACACCGAUAGCGAAGGCAGCUGGCCGGGCCUGCAUUGACGCUCAGGCACGAAAGCGUGGGGAUCGAACAGGAUUAGAUACCCUGGUAGUCCACGCUGUAAACGAUGGAUGCCCGCUGUUGGGCCUUUUGGGUUCAGUGGCCAAGAGAAAUCGUUAAGCAUCCCACCUGGGGAGUACGCCGGCAACGGUGAAACUCAAAUGAAUUGACGGGG
rnacentral:rRNA from 1 species